rnacentral:rRNA from 1 species
UACGUAGGGGUCGAGCGUUGUCCGGACUUACUGGGCGUAAAGCGUGGGUAGGUGGUCGGUGAUGUGCCGUGUGAAAGCGCCGCGCUUCUCGCGGCGAGGUCGCGGUAGACACACCGACUGGAGGCACGGAGGGGGGCGUAGAAUUCCCGGUGUAGUGGUGAAAUGCGUAGAUAUCGGGGAGGAAUACCAGUGGCGCAAGCGGCGCCCUGGCCGUGACCUGACACUGAGCCACGACGGCGUGGGGAGCAAACGGG